CCUUUUUUUGUUCAACGACCUAUCGAGAUUUAGUAUCAAGAUUAUGCUGACUUUAUAAAACAAAUCAGGUAAUGGGGAGAGAGAGAAAAGACCACCUCGGGAUCUCGAUUGCCUGUACUGUGGUCCUUCUUUCCUUGAGGUGUGCAACAGUU
rnacentral:snoRNA from 1 species